rnacentral:lncRNA from 1 species
GUUCUCUUCCAAUAUUGACAUGAUCUUUUGGCUCUGGAUCCGUGUUCAUUGACCACAUCUACCCCCACCACCUUCUCUUCUCUGGGUCUGUCUCCUCUUGGACACCUGGGGUAGGGGCUGGGGAUGGGGGGGUGGCGUUGGUGAAAAAUGCAGGCUGUUGCAGGGCAUACUUCACCCCGCACAGGUCGAUCUGGGAUGAAUCCUUAGCUCCAUGCUGACUUGUAAGUGGAAAUCUAUACCUCGCCUGUUCUGCUCUGUGCAACCCUGUUUUCUUCACUUGUGAAUAUUGAUUGCAUUUAAACAAGCUUUUUGCCCCAGGCCUGGUGGAGGCACCAAUUAGAUGCUGGCUCUAAUGCCGCUUGCAUGAGACUCUAUAUGAUUAUGCAUAUGAGACGGGUUCCAACCUGCCAUCUUUUUUGGAGAGAAGGGAGGCUUUAUCCUGAAUAAUUUAUUGGAAACCCCUUCCUAACACAAAAACAAAAGUCAAGUGAGCUCACUGCAGUGAAACAGCAAUUCAUCAGGACAUCUUAACUUGUCAUUCCUGGAUCCCAUUCUGUCUCCUCUCCCAUGCCCAAUCUUUGCUUAAUGAAAUACAUCACUUUUUAGGGGGAGAAGGAGGGUUUUCUCAGGCCAUAAUCUGCAUUCCCGAUGAGAAAGGUUGAGCCUCAUGGUUUGUUUUGAUAAAGCGAGUGGCUGGACAGAUGAUCUGAUCUGUAUAGGAGGUCUUUACUUUCUUGGCCUCUUUGUACUUAAAUCGCUGCUGGUGAACUUUAAAAAGCAAAUAUUUUAAAAAGACAUUUAACAUAUAGCCACAUGGAUUGUUACAAAUCCCUUCAUGCUGUUUUAUUUAAUUUAGAAAGAAUAAAGACUAAGAAAAUAUAGAAAACAAUUUAACCGAUAGCAGUGCACUUACUACCCAUAAUGAACAAAUACAGGUGUCCUCAUAAUUGUUUCAGAUUUUUUUUUUAAAAAAGGUAAUUUUAAAGUUCCAUCUGUAUCCCUUCCUAAUAUCAUUUCCCUCUUUCCCUAGAAGCAAACAUUAUCCUAUUUGCAAGGGUAUACUCUCAUUUCAUGUUUAUCCACAAACUGCAUAUGGAUUGAUUCGUGUGUUUUAAGAUUUAUGUCAAUGUCAUUAAAAUGUACACACCCGUUUACAUCUUUCAGCAACUCUUUUCUUAAACUCAUGCUUUCAUUUUUGGUAGUUGUCCCUAUUCAAUUCAUUCAUCAUUUGGUUUUUGGUAAUUAUCCAUACUGACAUAUGUCGAUUUAGUUCAUUCAUUGGAACAGUUUCAGUAGGAAGAUGUAGUGUAUGGAGAGGCCAGAAUUUAUCUAGACACUCCAUUUUCCAUGAGCAUUCAGAUUCUUUCUAAUUUUUUUGCUAUUAUUAACAAAGUUGCUACAAAAAAAUACCCUUGAGUGCUCAUGAGAAAAUUUCUUCAGUAAAAUCCUUGAACUAAAUGACUAGGUUUAAAUUUUACUAAACAUCGCCAGAUUGCUCUCCCAAGAGGCUGUAUUAUAUUGCAGCUCUCCAGCAAGGUAUAAAGUUUCCACUUAACAUUUCACCACAUUCUCUUGAUAAUGCGCAUUUUUUCUCAGUGUUUUAAUUUGCAUUUCCCUGGUCACGAUAAGGAUGGGAACGAGUACUGCUUCAUAUGUUCACUGACUAUCAAGUUUAUUCUUCCUUUGCGAAUUGAACUUUCUAAUGCAUCUGCCUUUUUUGCUAUUUGCUUUAUCUUUUUCUUAAUGAUUUGUAGAAACUCUGAGUAUUAAUUUUCAUGGGUUAUCUGAGCUGCAAACAUCUCCUCCCCAUCUGUUGCUUUAAGUUUUGCCCAAAAUAUCUUCUGUCCUUCAAGAAACCUGAAUGUUGAUCUGUUGAACCUAUGAAUAUGUUCCUGCUUUAUAAAAAGUUUGCAGAAAGGUUUCUUUGCCGUAGGUCAUUAAAUUAAUUUCCAGUAUUUUCUUCUAAUGAUUUUCAAGUUUACUUCUCAUGUUGGUAUCUUGAAUCCACUGAAAGUUUGUUUAUACAUUUAUUUAUUUGUUUGUUUUGGAAAAGUGUGAGCUGAUGCUGUUCUAGCUUUGGACAACUUCUUCCCCAGAUGUCUUGCUGUGGGUGAAAAAACGAUCCUCUUAAGUCGCUAUUGGUUGGGCUUUCUAUUUCUUUGAGCCUAAUACCUUCUAAUGGCUACAUUAUUUUCUCUACUCACGCCAAAAACUCCCUUUAUGUGUAUCUCAGAGCUUACAAUUAUUUUUCUUCCAUCCUUCUAUUUUUAUUUUUCUUGGAGUGAUUUUGGGAAAUUACUCAACCUCUAUCUUCAUUUUCACAAAUUCUCUCUUUGACUACUUCUAAUCUCUUGUUUAACCUAUCUGGUGAGUAAUUCCCCUCCCUCCCAUUAACUGUAUUUAUUUCUACAAAUUUUGUUACUUUUUCACAUCUUCCUUUUUGGUUCUCAUUAUGUCCUUCCCAUGCCUGAUACACUUUAUUUCUUUCUUCAUAUAUGUACACUUCAAGCAAACUUACUUUAAAGUCCUACUUAUAUUGAUAUAUUAUUUGUGAUUCCUUGGGCAUGGCCAUUUAUUGUUUGCUGAUCAUCUCCUAGAUCAUUAGAUUUCUCCAAGAGUUGUUUAAACCAUGUCUUUAGUGUGAACUGUUUUUCACACUGUUGAUCUAUAUCCUGGCUUGCAGAGGCUUUCCUAUGGGAAUUUUCAUAGUUGCUUCUAAUAGGGCCACAAAGGAAAUUGCAGGACCCAAUUUUUACAUUUACAUCUUGACUUAAGGUUUUUGCAUCAGGUAGGUGGUUUAAGGUUUCUGAUCUCACACCUGCAAGAAAUGCAAUUUGGGGGAGUCUGUUUCUCGGGCCAGUGAGCCAAGUGUUUUUUUUUUUAAUUCUAUAUUAAAGAACAGGAAAGACAUUUACUAUUCCUGGCUCUGGUUAAAGGGCUCAGUUCUCACUCCUAUACCAAGUGGGGAGAUUUGGCCUCAAUUUCAGCUUCCACAAAGGCUUUAAAACCUCAGCCUGUGAGACACAUACCUCGUUUCGUUACUCUUGUGGCCAUGUAGUUCCAACUCACACUCACGGCAAUGUUUUUGGCACCUGGAGUUUCUCAUUUUUUGCUUUUGAGCUUGGCUAUGUACUUUGAAUUUUUUUUUUUGUCUUUUUGCCUUUUCUAGGGCUGCUCCCGUGGCGUAUGGAGGUUCCCAAGCUAGGGGUCUAAUCCGAGCUGUAGCCACUGGCACUGGCCUACACCAGAGCCACAGACAGCAACGUGAGAUCUGAGCCGCAUCUGCAACCUACACCAGAGCUCUUGACAACGCAGGCUCCUUAACCCACUGAGCAAGGCCAGGGAUUGAACCCCCAUCCUCAUGGUUCCCCCCCAUCCUCAUGGUUCCUAGUCAGAUUUGUUAACCACUGUGCCAUGACAGGAACUCCUGUACUUUGAAUUUUUAAAAGCCAUAUAUAUUAUGUAGUAUUUCUAUGUGUUUUGAGUAGGAGCAGGGGCUUCAUAUAUGAGCACAGUCUGCUGUCCUGACCUAGAACCACUUUCACCUCUUUAUUGGCAGCUGCCAAGUCACACAUGGCUUGUGCUCCAGAUAUGCAUUUGUAAGUCAGUAAACAUGAAGUCAGAGGAUAUUUUUCCCAUACCAAGAGAGUGAUGUGGUGAUUAGAAAAACAUAAUGCAAGUGUCAUUGCUUAGGACAGGUGAGCUACAAGGUUUGGGUUUCCUUACGAAAAAUACAGGUUACUAUCUCAGGAUACAUUCUCCAUUGUCCCAAAUCCAGUUUGCAGUCUUGCAGGUUCAGCAAUGUAAUUUAUUUGCACACCAGUUGUGGAUUCAUCUCUCAGAUAAGGACUCAUUCAGAUAGAACCAUCUGAAGCAUAAAACCAGGAUGCCAACUUUAUAAUUUAUCGUGAGGACGGUAACUACGGAAGGACUGGACACUGUGAUGUCCUGGAGCACAUUUUCUCCCUGGAGGCGACCUCUGUGGGAAGCCACAUAAUAAUCAGGAGGUUUCCUAUUGAACAAGGAAUCUAAGUGAAGGGAAGGGGUUUUUAAUUAUGAUCUUGAAAACUGUAAUAGCCUCAGGGCCUGACAGUUUGCUGAAUCCAUGGCAGUAACAGGCGACUUCCUUGCCAGAGAGACCAUCACAUCCAAAGCCCAUUUGACAAGGUGUCCUGUCCACUGGACAGAGCCUCGGUGGUCACUGCCAGCCAUUGUUUCUCUUGAUUCUCUUUUUUAUGCUUCCAUGAAUGAGCCUAUUCUUUCUUUAGAUUGAAUAGCUUCAGUCCAGUCUGGGGUCUGGGAGCCACUCUGUUUUAAUGUGAUUGUGCAAAGCUUCUCUCUCACUCACUCUGGGUGAUUUCAUGGUUUAACUCUCGGUGUAUAAUCUUAUUCCUGGCUCCUUGUUAGGAGGGACGAUGACCAGUCACAGCUGACCCCCUUCCAUCUGCAGCAAUGCCUUUAAUCAUGAUUUUUUUCUCCCUCACUUUGUAUUAGAAACAUUUCAAAUUUACAGAAAUGUUGGAAGAAUAGUUCAGGAACCAUUUAUGCCCUUCACCUGUAUUCGAUGCUGAUAUUAUUUUGUUUCAUUUAUAUUUGUGUAUACAAACAUCUCUUUUUGUUUGGAUGAGCCAUGAAAUAGUAUGUAGGCUUCAUGCAACUUAACCACUCAAUAAAUCAACAUACCUUUCCAAAGAGGAACUACUUUCUUUUAUAUAAUUACAGUUACCAUCAUCACACCCAAGAAAAGAACUAUUAACUUGUAUUCCAGAUUGAAAUUUCUCUAAUUGUUCCGACAAGAUCUUCUACAAGCACUAUAAUUAAUCAUAUUUUUGGGUGAAAAUGCAUUCAGAGUUUCAAGUGUCAAACACCUUAGCUUGCACUCCGUACAACCUAAGAUAGGUAUGCUCUCCCUCUCCUGCUCCUCCCACUUCCAUCUGUUCUUUCUUUUUCCGUCAUUUGUCUUUUUAGGGCCACACCCUCAGCAUAUGGAGUUUCCCAGGCUAGGCGUUGAAUCAGAGCUACAGCACAGCCACAGCAAUGGCAGGAUCCAAGUACACAAGCCUGCGCCACAGCCACAGCAAUGGCAGGAUCCAAGCCGCGUCUGCGACCUAUACAACAGCUCAUGGCAACGCUGGACCCUUAACCCACGGAGAGAGGCCAGGGAUUGAACCUGUGUCUUCAUGGAUACUAGUUGGGUUUGUUAACCACGGAGCCACAACGGGAACGAGCUUUCAAGGCUCCAUUUGUUUUACUCUACUGUGCUACUACUUACCAAGAGCUCUGUUGCCCACUAUCACCUGGCUUCACUUCAGGACGAUGUCUGAAGGCAUCUAUCUUUAAAAAAGUUAGCAUAGGCUGGAUUGUAAGUGUCCAAGGAAAUAUUCUGCAUGUCCUGGAUCAAGGCUAGGAAUGUUUCAGGAUGCCCUAAGGGCAGCACUGGUCUUCAGAUGCCAGCCCUGGCUCUUAGGCAGCUGGAGAAUGGUUCUUAAAAGAGCUCUGCCACAUUCUCUGCAUAUAUCUUGUCCUGGUUUGUUCAAAGCCUGGUGAAUGCGAAGGGGCUCUUACCCAGCCUUCUGUUCUUAGGACACAGGCAAGUUCCCAGCCCUCCACCCCCGGGGCAGGGCUGUACCCUGAUGCGGUGUUGAGCGCUGAGACCACUAGCUUACUCAGCUCAACUAUCUGCACUGCGCUGAGACUACCUGUGUGUCAGUAUGACUUUAUUAAAUUGUUCCAGAACUCCUUGCCCAGAAAGAUGAGACUAUAAACAAACAAAUAACUUCAGUACUUAGAUCAUAAAAUUUCCCCAAACUAAUUUGUUCUGGCAAUUGUUUGCUCAUCUGGGCAAACAGCUCAAUGAUCAAACAACUGUAUACUUAUCCAGUCUCACUUCGAAUCCCUCACCUUGCUCUGUCCAUCAGUUCUAAAUGGUUACAAUGUGAACUUUUCCCUGUGCCAAUCAUAUCUCUGCAUGGAAAGACCCACCUUAAGUCCUUUGAACCCACAUUCCCAAACCUUAUAAAUAUCUGCCUCUGACUUCUUCCUUCUGUGAUGCUUAUGAAAGGCAGUCAAGGUGAUGCUCUCUCUGACUGCAGUAAACUAAUAAACUUAGCAUCAGCAAAAAGUCUACAAAUAAUAAAUGAGGGUGUGGAGAAAAAGGAACCUUCCUACACUGUUGGUGGGAAUGUAAAUCGGUGCAGCCACUAUGGAGAACAGUAUAGAAGUUCCUUAAAAAUUAGAGUUACCGCAGUGAUCCAGCAGUCCUACUCCUGUGCAUGUAUCUGAAAAAAAAAAACACUCUAAUCUGAAAAGAUAUAUGCACCCCAGUGUUCAUAGCAACACUAUUUACAAUAUUUAAGACAUUGAAGCAACUUAAAUGUCCAUUGACAGGUGAAUGGAUAAAGAAGAUGUAAAUAUGUAUAUAUGUGUGUGUGUGUGUUUAUACAUACAUACAUACAUACAUAUAUAUAUAUAUAUGUUGGAAUAUUACUCAGCCAUAAAAAAGAAUGAAAUAAUGCCAUUUGUAGCACAUAGAUGAAUGUAGACAUUAUCAUAUUAAUUGAAGUAAGUCAGAUAAAGAAAGACAAAUAUGAUAUCAGUGAGAUGUGGAAUCUAAAAAGAUGAUACAAAUGAACUUAUUUAAAAAGCAGAAAUAGGAGUUCCCAUUGUGGUGCAGUGGAAAUGAAUCCAAUGAGGAACCUUGAGGUUUUGGGUUUGAUCCCCAGCUUUGCUUAGUGGCUUAAGGAUCUGGCAUUGUUGUGGGCUGUGGCAUAGGCUGCAGAUGCGACUUGGAUCUGGCAUGGCUAUGGCUGUGGCUGACAGCUGUAGCCGGCAGUGGUAGCUCUGAUUAGAUCCCUAGCCUGGAAGCCUCCAUAUGCUGCAGGUGCGGCCUUAAAAAAAAAAAAAAAAAAAAAAAAAAAAA